ACGUUCGACAUCCUUUCUGUCCGGUACGUGUCCGUUUCUCGUACGUUGCAUAUCCUGUGUGUGUCCGUUAUGCAUCCGUUACACGUCCGUUUUAUUUGGUCAGUACAUCAACGGACUACCAACGGAUAACAAUUUUGUCAACGGACAACUUUUAUUUUCAUCCGUUAGGCGUCCGUUCAUGCUAUCCGGUAAGGUGUGACCGAGGCUUUUCUUUGU
rnacentral:lncRNA from 1 species